rnacentral:misc_RNA from 1 species
UAAUAAUAAUAAUAAUAAAAAGAAGAAUCUACACGGUUUUCGUUCUAUAGAAUGAGUACCGAGCCCUUAUCAAUUAGCAGCCUAAACCCUUGUUACUUAAAGGGCGGCCCCUGAAACAGAAUUUGAGAAAUUAGUCGGAUAUGCUGCCAAAUCAGCAUUCAAUGCCAUAUCAGCUAAGGGCGGCUAAGCAUGCCAUCUCGGAUCGGAUAAGUCAGUCUCCUAUGCUGCCAUAAAGUUAAAGUUAAAGUCAUGCUUUUCAUCCAAUUUCAGGCGCAGAGAGCUAAGAUAAAGUAGCUAAAUAGAGCUAGGCGACUCGAUUGCUAUUCGACCAAGCUUAGUGGGUUUGUGCAGGCGAAAGUCUCCUGAGGCACUUCUGGUCUGAUGCUGAGUAGCCAAAAGGUUAUGCUAAGACCCCCAAGGGGCUGCAGCCUCAACCACUGGGGCAAGCUUUGAGAAAGGGUUUUCGUCAGUCCUCUUUCUUAGUUUAGUACUCUUUUCCACAGGCUAAUGCGGAAUCUAUUCUGGGCGUGGACCAGGUGCGGCAGCAAUUCCUACGGCCGCAGACUCUUCAACUGGCUAAGACGCUGAAGCAACCUCACUGGAAACAAAAUCAAUGUCUGUAAAGUAAACAGAAUCUAGUUGAGAAACCCCAAUCUAUCGUGAACUAUCCGCAGAAUCGCUUCGCCCCUGCUGACGAUGACCUGGAAGCUAGCUCUGGUUUAGCAUAUGCAUAUGAAACAGCACAGCUCACGCUAAACGCUCCUGCGUCAAGCUUUCUUGCUGGACACUUUACCUCUAGUGGCUUAACUCCUGAAGCAGGUAUUUUAUGCUUUUCUGCUGGAAACGUCGAAACUGUAGCUUGCUUUGCUUAUAGGGCAUUAUAAAAUAAAGAAAGUCUUCCACUUUAGAAAGAGAGUAUGAAACUUUGCUUAAUACUAUUAAGAAUUACAAUUGAAAAAAAAAAAAAAAAAACUUCCGAUCAUCAUGAAACAGAAUUACUUGAAGGAAAUGUUACCAGUUACAUUGAUACCCAUGAAUCCUCAAUAACCUCAAUCAAUAAAAUUAACACUUUUUCCAGCUCAUAAAGCAGUUCUGUUCACUUACAGAUAGGUUCUAGAAAAAUCAAAUAAUUACAGUCCAAGAAAAUCUUCUGGUCAACUAAAAUGAAUGCUUCCAUGUCAAUGGUCAUGAUAAGCAUACCAAAAAUGAAUAGUUAUAAAUAAUCUCACCAUACCUAAAAAAUCGCUUUGUGAAUUCACAAUGUACACACACCUCAUAUAAAGAAGAGACUAAUAUUCAGCAAAUGAUGCUUGAGAGUAGAGGGAAAAGUACUGGCUUUUGGGAAGAAUAAUUAGAAAUCUGUUGUUACAAAUGAAUAAAGAGAAAAGAAACUAACUUUUAUUCCCACUGUUGGAGUCUUGGAGAUAAUUUAGCAUGAUGUAUAGCAAUUAUUCACCAAAAAUGAGAAGAAACCAAAGAAAAUUUACUCUUUUGACAUACAUUAGAUAGGAGCUCAGAACCACUUUGCAGUAACUGAGACAACAUUUCAACCCUUUGUUCUUCAGUCAGAGGACCCAUACUUAUUUCAUGGCUGAAGCAACGUCUUACAGUUGGAGGUAGGCCCUCAGAACUCUCAGCAGUUGCAACUAAGAGCACCUGAUGCCUACUUAUUUUUCCAAUAUCCUUGACCGGCUGCAUCAUCAAGGUAUAAGAGUAAGCAUCCCUGACAAAUCCUAACAGAGUACAAGUUUUAUUUUUGAGUAAUUAGUAAUUAAUAAUAGUUUUUUCCUUCUAUGAGCAGAAAUUGCCUUAACAUCUUAAAGUUGUAAAACUAUGAAGCAAGAGCCUUUGAAAGUACUUCAGUCAAGAGACACUGAAAGACACUUUGAAUCUCCCAGUUAUCGGUCUUCUAAGUUAAUUCGAUUCCUAGAGAUGUUGGGCUGCUAUUCCAACAUAUCAUGUUCUUUUUUGUUUCUUUCAUGACUGUGCUGCUACUUUUUAUGAAUCUUUCUCCAUUUUAUGCUGGAGGGUCUCAACCAUGUUUUGGAGGACAGAGGAAGAUAGACAAGAUAUCUGAAAAUUUUAUUAAUUUGUUUAAGAACAGUCUUGUUGAAAAGAAAUAAAAAGUUACAUCUUACAAGAUCACCAUUUAAUUUUCCGUUGGAGUAAUUGUAAUCAUCUUCAGCACCUGGUUCAGUGAAUUCCCUAAGAACUGAAGCAACUUCUGAGGUGAGACCAACUUGAUCAUUUGGUGAACCAUCUUGCGAAUUCAAAUUUCGGAAGACAUCAAAAUGGUGUAGAAGAAGAAUUGUGGGUGAAUAUCUUUGAGCCGUGUUGAAAGCUUGAGCGAGUGCAAUAGAUGUAUUCCUGUCAGAGGAUGUCAUAAGAUUAUGACAGCUGAAUUCCACAACAUGAAGGCCCAAGCGACAGGAAAUGUAUCUAACUACUGUCCUCUUUCCACAUCCUUCUGGACCAUAUAGUAGGACAGAAACUCUGAAUUUUGAAGAAAGUGCUGAUGGGCACAAAGGUGGUGCAAGUAUGGAGGCCAAAGUUUUUGCUGUGUCCACUUGGAAAGGGGAAAAACCUUUGGCUCCAUCAAUCAACAGAUCUGGGGGAAGAGCAGAAGGAACAGCCCCCCCAAGAACUAAAGCUGUUUUAGUGUGAUUCACUCGAAGAAUGGUUUCAUCGGAUGGCUCCAUAGCCACAACCUUGAAGUAGAUGAGGUUAUUAUUUCUAUUUUGUGACCUUUGGCUGCAAGGAAUGCAAAUAACUGAAUUGCAAUUCCAAUUUAUGCAGAUGUUGAAAAUAUCACCUCUUGCUAGGUAUCUAUCAACUUCAAAAUAGUUGUGUAAUGCCAAAUCAAUCAAUUCUUGGCGAUCUUCGGCUUCAACUGAUGAACUUCCUUUCAAAGAUUCCAGAGUACCACAUUCUGGUAUCUUAACAAAAGAAACUCUCAAGUGUGAGGCAUAUCUUGGCAGUUGAGCCAAGGGUUCCAAUCCUAAAGUGAUUAAAGAACCAUCACUAACUUCUCUAGUAGUCUUAUCAUCCACCUUACUGUCAAAAAGUGCUGCUAAGGUCUCAUUCCCUUGGUGGACAAGUGAUUUCAAACAAGAUACAUGUAAGUCAAGGUUAAACGCUAAUAGAGGAGAGAGAUAUGCAAUAUCUUGGUCCAAUAAUGGAGGGUCAUCUGAAGGAAGUCUAUAUGAAGGAAAGACAAGCAUUGUGUUGGGAGAAUGAGAAACUGGUCCUUUAUCACCAGAUGCAUGUCCAUGGGUCCUGGGGGGAUCUAGAAUGACAACCUGGGCAAUCCUCUGUACAUUUGUUUCAAUAUUCUUGAUAAGCACCUAGUUUUGAACAGAGAAGGGGAGGAAAAUUACAUCAGCCGUUGGCUUUUACAAGAAAUCGAUAAAAUGUUUAAAAAAAAAAAGGAGAACAAUAAGAAGUUAUAGGUAAUUUCACACCACAAAAUCUAGUCUGUUACAGUUCAAUUGAGGUCAUUAUGCAUGGCAGUAAACAAUUUUGUAAUCACUAAUCAGCAAAUAUUAAUAGCAGCAAAUUACAUUUCAUUUCUAUGAAUUUGCAAAGCAAAAGAUUGUUGCAGAAUAAUGUGGGCAAGAAACUAUGUUUCCUCUGGUUUCUUGAACCCAUUAAGAAAGAGUGGGGACAAAAUAACAAAACCAGAGUAAAACUGACAAUGAAUCCUCCAAGAAAAAAGGAGGUUAAUUUCCAAUCAUUCAUAAAUUUUUCUGUUCAACUACGCCAAAUAACUCGGCAGAUAAAAGUUGAGUGAAAUUUUAUUUUCUAGGUCCGACUGCCAAAAAGUACAGCAUCGAAAACCUUCCUUCUGUUUUAUCUUCCUAUCCACCAAACAGCUUACCUUACUUACUGCCCCUUGCAAUUUAGUCAGUGAAAGCUUACCAGCGAACCAGAAGUUACAGCCAAUCGUUUGAGAACAGCAAUCGAAAGCCCAACCAAAGCAGAAUCGUCAAGAGAAGUUAGUUUAGAAUCUGAAACGCCGAUAUUGGCCUUCGAAAAUCGGAGAAUUCCCGCUGGUAAUAGCAAACUCGGCGACACAUCAUCUCCGGGGAGUCGGACCCCUUCACAGAGAGUGGACGAGCUGAGUACAGAAUCAACGAGGAAUUUGGUUGAAGAGAGAACCAGAGGCUUCCUCCUUCUCUCGACCAUUGUUGCACAGAGUUAGCCGCAGUAUAAAACCCUAAUUCUCUAGAAUAUCCAUGUAUCCUAACGAAAAUACGCAGGUGAAGUAAGAAAACAGCAGCACAGCCUGGGCCUGAUAUUGCACUAAUGCAGUUAGAUAUGAACUGCGAAAGGCGUAAUCGAUGAAAAUUUCCUUACGUUCGCAUUGGUCCUUGCAAUGUUGACGCCAAAAUUAACCGUUCAACGUAAGCGUGUGCUUUUGGUUUUUCCCUCUCCCUUUUGGGCUGGGCCUCUGUCUCCAUCCUUCUCUGAAAAAAAAAAUGUUUUUUAGCUAAAUUUGUUUAUAAAUACAACGUUUCUUUCAGGAUUAAGUCGAUAGCAUUCUUAAAAUUCCGUUAGAAUUCGACGUGCGAGGAAGACAAAAGAAUCUGGCAUUUUGAGAAGAAAGGCUUUUACUCAGUUGGAUCUGCUCACAAGAUCCUUCUCAAUAAUUCAGAAAUCCCUAGAGCUACUGGGGUGUCCUCAGGAUGAAGAAUUUGUGGAGGCUUAAAAUCCCUCCAAAGGUAAAGGAUUUUUUAUGGAGAGCAUGUCGAAAUAUCCUUCCAACUGCAGAUAUGUUAGCUUUUCGAGGGGUGCAAGUGUGAGUUUGUGCUUGAGCUGUGGUGGGGAUGAGAGCACUAGCCGUGUGUUGCUUUCUUGUCCUAAGGUUGUGUGCUGUUGGAACAUUUUGGGUUUAAGCAGUAAUCAGCUUGGGCAGGAUUUUAGUGAAUUUUUCAUGAGUUUUCUG